AUUGAACGCUGGCGGCAUGCCUUACACAUGCAAGUCGAACGGUAACGGGCCUUCGGGUGCCGACGAGUGGCGAACGGGUGAGUAAUGUAUCGGAACGUACCUUUCAGUGGGGGAUAACGUAGCGAAAGUUACGCUAAUACCGCAUAUUCUGUGAGCAGGAAAGCAGGGGAUCGCAAGACCUUGCGCUGAUUGAGCGGCCGAUAUCAGAUUAGCUAGUUGGUGAGGUAAAGGCUCACCAAGGCGACGAUCUGUAGCGGGUCUGAGAGGAUGAUCCGCAACACUGGAGCUGGGACACGGUCCAGACUCCUACGGGAGGCAGCAGUGGGGAAUUUUGGACAAUGGGGGCAACCCUGAUCCAGCCAUGCCGCGUGAGUGAAGAAGGCCUUCGGGUUGUAAAGCUCUUUCGGCCGGGAAGAAAUCGUAUCAGCUAAUACCUGGUGCGGAUGACGGUACCGGCAUAAGAAGCACCGGCUAACUACGUGCCAGCCGCCGCAGUAAUAC
rnacentral:rRNA from 1 species